UACGUAGGUGGCAAGCGUUGUCCGGAAUCACUGGGCGUAAAGCGCACGUAGGCGGAUUGCUAAGUCAGGGGUGAAAUCCUGGAGCUCAACUCCAGAACUGCCUUUGAUACUGGGAAGCUCGAGUCCGGAAGAGGUGAGUGGAACUCCGAGUGUAGAGGUGAAAUUCGUAGAUAUUCGGAAGAACACCAGUGGCGAAGGCGGCUCACUGGUCCGGUACUGACGCUGAGGUGCGAAAGCGUGGGGAGCAAACAGG
rnacentral:rRNA from 1 species